rnacentral:rRNA from 1 species
GACGAACGCUGGCGGCGUGCCUAAUACAUGCAAGUAGAACGCUGAAGGAGGAGCUUGCUUCUCUGGAUGAGUUGCGAACGGGUGAGUAACGCGUAGGUAACCUGCCUGGUAGCGGGGGAUAACUAUUGGAAACGAUAGCUAAUACCGCAUAAUAGUAGAUGUCGCAUGACAUUUGCUUAAAAGUUGCAAUUGCAUCCCUACCAGAUGGACCUGCGUUGUAUUAGCUAGUUGGUGAGGUAACGGCUCACCAAGGCAACGAUACAUAGCCGACCUGAGAGGGUGAUCGGCCACACUGGGACUGAGACACGGCCCAGACUCCUACGGGAGGUAGCAGUAGGGAAUCUUCGGCAAUGGACGGAAGUCUGACCGAGCAACGCCGCGUGAGUGAAGAAGGUUUUCGGAUCGUAAAGCUCUGUUGUAAGAGAAGAACGAGUGUGAGAGUGGAAAGUUCACACUGUGACGGUAUCUUACCAGAAAGAGACGGCUAACUACGUG